GGCAUCUCUGUUUUGGAGGCAUCUCUGUUUUGGAGGUAUCUCUGUUUUGGAGGUAUCUCUGUUUUGGAGGUAUCUCUGUUUUGGAGGCAUCUCUGUUUUGGAGGCAUCUCUGUUUUGGAGGUAUCUCUGUUUUGGAGGUAUCUCUGUUUUGGAGGUAUCUCUGUUUUGGAGGUAUCUGUUUGACUGUCCCAAUUCAUACUGUAAUUCAAGGUUUAGUUCAGCAACAAUUUGGAGAAGAAAGAAAGAAAGAACGAAGGAUGGAAGUAGUGGUAUGGUGCCAGAUAAGACAGAGGGUAUGACCUGCCAACAUGAGGUGAAGAAAACACACUGGAAAACUGUACACAUUGUGUCCCAGAGAAGACACGAAGGCUUCAGCAAUGUUGUUCUGGGUCAGGAUAAGGUGAGAGGGCUUGUGUAUGAGUGGGUAGUGUGUGAUUCUGAGCACUACAGCACUCCUAUUGUGUAGAAGUGAAUGGAGAAUCCCUGAACUCUGGGGUCUUCUUGAGCAAUGGUUCAUGUGCUUAGUGUUGUUACUGCAGCAAGAUGUCAACAUGACUCCAUGUCUUGUCUCAAUUCAGAGGAAAGCAGCUCUUCAAGCGAAGAUUAAGUCACAAAUCAAUGGUUUCUUUUUCCUCUUCUGAAAAUCAACAACCUUCUCUAUAUAUCUGCUGGAAGAUCUGAGAGCAACAGAUGCAGCCUUCUUUCUUUGAACUGAACGGUGAUGGUAAUGGAGUGCACACUUGUCUAUUCCUGUUAGUUUGUGGUACAAUAUUUAUUGUUAUAGAAAUUAUUUACAUUUGUGAAUACGCAAAUUGUAAUGUAUUGUCAUUUUAUGUGUAUUUAUUUGAUUUGGUCUAUUUAUUUAAAAAAACAAUUAAAUGUAUAUUUAGUAAAUCAAAAAAUGCAACCCUGCUGGUCGAUCAUGGCCAUAAAGAUUUAAAAUAGGAAGUCUUCUACAUCAAUAUUUAAAAAGCUAUUUAGACAACUGUCCACACUUGAUUAUUUUAUAUAUCUUAUUUUAUUUUAAAUAAUUUGUAAACAUUUUUAAUUGCAAAUAUUUUAUAAAUGACAAUGUUUUGAUAAUUUUAUAAAGGUUUUCUCCUUCAUUUAUGCUAUUUCUUUUAUCUGUGUCUUCAGAUACCCACGGCUUAAAAAGAAAGUAUGUAUUUAUUAUUUAUUUCAUAUUAAAUAUUGAUAUGAUUGUAUAUUUAUUUUGUUAUUUAUGUGUGUGUUGUGAUGGCUGAGUAUCAGUAGUGUUAAAAUCCAUUUCUAAUAUUUAAAUACAAUUUUAAAAACCAUGCUCAGAAAGAAUAAAUAGAAUAUUGUUUGAUUACUUAGGCUUUCCUAGAUAUAUCAGCAGUUGUAAAAGCAAAAUAACUAACGAAAGCAAUCACUGUUCUGGUGGUGUCAGAGUGGCUUUGUGUCAUCGAUGAUUUAUUUGCUUUUUGUCAGGAAAAAUAAGACUAAGAAAAUAGACAGAUAUAAGGAUCAAAUGUUACCUCUCCAAGCGCUUUGUAGCGGCCAACACUGGCUUACCCAAAACAUCUUUAAUGUACUAUAGAUGUUUUAAUGCCUUUUGAUAAAUUAUUUUUCUCUUGUCAUUAUUUUCUCUCAAUGUGUUGAGCAGAAGCUCCAAAGAGCUCUGUUCCGGAAUGUUCCGUCUAGACUGGAUGUCUGGGUCUAAGACAUGUAAAGGACAUCUUCAAGAAAAAACUAAACCAUCAAGGAGGAUGACCUCUUUGACAAUUUAUAUCACAUCCACUUCUACGCCCUUGUAGCCUUAUUCUAGAUGACAUUUGUUGAUGCACAAAGUGCCACUACCACUCAGUUUCUUUCCUGAUUCUUUGCAUUCUGCAAUGUACGAUGUCUGGUCACAUGACAUGACCAGGGCGUCACAUGACAUGACCGAGAGUUGGGAUUGUUUCAGAUGCCUUUAUUUCUUUGCCAAGAUGGCCAUAAGUACACUAUAUAUACAUUCUGUAUAAAUAGAAUUUCAAAUGCUAUAUAUAUAUAUAUAUAUAUAUAUAUAUAUAUGAAUAGAAACAUACAUAUAUUUUUCCAGUGUAAUUGUUGACUAUUUUUCUCUUGUAUUAGCUUAUCAAAGGAACAGUAGUUGUUUGAGAGUUGUGACGACUAGAGGUGGUUAUGACUGUGGUUUUAAAGAUACUCAACAAAACCGUCAUUGUUUUUUAGGUUUCCUUUUCUUCUCUAUCCUUGAUCCAAACAUGAUGACGAUAAUAAUAAUAACAAUACAUGGGACUUAUAUAGUGCUUUUUCAAGGACCCAAAGUCGACAUGUUGUAAAUGCUAACGUCUGUUGUAAUGAAUCUGAAAUGACUGUCGUUUUAACUAAAUGGUUGGCUCUUUGUUCAAGUGUCGUGUGAGUGAGUUCAUGUAUAGAGGACUCUUCAUAGUAGUCACAUUGGCUAUAUUGUGCAGUACUGUGUCGUUAUGAUAAGGUUAUGAUCAUGUCAGCCCACUGAGCGGAGUUUUUAAACACGGAUCACAAUGUUAAAAAGCCAAUAGGGAAAGUGUAGUAGAUAGAUAAUAUGAUGAGGUAACCUAGUGGGAGACCCUGUGAUAAUAUGAUGAGGUAACCUAGUGGGAGACCCUGUGAUAAUAUGAUGAGGUAACCUAGUGGGAGACCCUGUGAUAAUAUAAUGAGGUAGCCUAGUGGGAGACCCUGUGAUAAUAUGAUGAGGUAACCUAGUGGGCGACCCUGUGAUAAUAUGAUGAGGUAACCUAGUGGGAGACCCUGUGAUAAUAUGAUGAGGUAACCUAGUGGGAGACCCUGUGAUAAUAUGAUGAGGUAACCUAGUGGGAGACCCUGUGAUAAUAUAAUGAGGUAACCUAGUGGGCGACCCUGUGAUAAUAUGAUGAGGUAACCUAGUGGGAGACCCUGUGAUAAUAUGAUGAG
ensembl:lncRNA